rnacentral:rRNA from 1 species
UACGUAGGGUGCAAGCGUUGUCCGGAAUUAUUGGGCGUAAAGAGCUCGUAGGCGGUCUGUCGCGUCUGCUGUGAAAAUCCAGGGCUCAACCCUGGACCUGCAGUGGGUACGGGCAGACUAGAGUGCGGUAGGGGAGUCUGGAAUUCCUGGUGUAGCGGUGAAAUGCGCAGAUAUCAGGAGGAACACCGGUGGCGAAGGCGGGACUCUGGGCCGAUACUGACGCUGGAGGAGCGAAAGCGUGGGGAGCAAACAGG